CCUACGGGAGUCAGCAGUGAGGAAUAUUGGUCAAUGGACGAGAGUCUGAACCAGCCAAGUAGCGUGAAGGAUGACUGCCCUAUGGGUUGUAAACUUCUUUUAUAUGGGAAUAAAACGUUCCACGUGUGGGAUUUUGUAUGUACCAUAUGAAUAAGGAUCGGCUAACUCCGUGCCAGCAGCCGCGGUAAUACGGAGGAUCCGAGCGUUAUCCGGAUUUAUUGGGUUUAAAGGGAGCGUAGGUGGAUUUUUAAGUCAGUUGUGAAAGUUUGCGGCUCAACCGUAAAAUUGCCGUGGAAACUGGCAGUCUGGAGUACAGGAGAGGUGGGCGGAAUUCGUGGUGUAGCGGUGAAAUGCGUAGAUAUCACGAAGAACUCCGAUUGCGAAGGCAGUUCACUGGACUGCAACUGACACUGAGGCUCGAAAGUGUGGGUAUCAAACAGGAUUAGAUACCCUUGUAGUC
rnacentral:rRNA from 1 species